rnacentral:misc_RNA from 1 species
GGGAAACUUCUCGUGGUAGUGCUAGUACUAUAGUACUUCAUUCUAGAGUUGCAAUAUAAGAAAAUUACUAGUACUUGGGUCACGUAGGAAGGAAAAAUUAUAUCAAAAUUUGAAUACAGGUUGAGCAGAUAUCAACUCAGGAACAGUCGAAUUCCCGGUUUUGUUGACCAUGGAGCCACGCCAAACAUGGUUGACCAAAACUCGUCUGUUGACUUGGGAAUUCAUUUUUGAAUCCGCUAGGCCACGACUUGCAUGCUUGCAAAGGUAGC